AUGCAAGUCGAACGGUAACAUUGGUGCUUGCACCAGAUGACGAGUGGCGCACGGGUGCGUAACGCGUAUGCAAUCUACCUUUUACUGAAGAAUAGCCCAGAGAAAUCUGGAAUAAUCCUUCAUAAUAUCAUUUAUCAGCAUUGAUUUAUGAUUAAAGCUCCGGCGGUAAAAGAUGAGCAUGCGUCCUAUUAGUUUGUUGGUGAGGUAACGGCUCACCAAGACUACGAUAGGUAGGGGCCCUGAGAGGGGGAUCCCCCACACUGGUACUGAGACACGGACCAGACUCCUACGGGAGGCAGCAGUGAGGAAUAUUGGACAAUGGAGGCAACUCUGAUCCAGCCAUGCCGCGUGCAGGAUGACUGCCCUAUGGGUUGUAAACUGCUUUUAUAUAGGAAGAAACACUCCCACGUGUGGGGGCUUGACGGUACUAUAUGAAUAAGGAUCGGCUAACUCCGUGCCAGCAGCCGCGGUAAUACGGAGGAUCCAAGCGUUAUCCGGAAUCAUUGGGUUUAAAGGGUCCGCAGGCGGCCUGUUAAGUCAGAGGUGAAAGCCAACAGCUCAACUGUUGAACUGCCUUUGAUACUGAUAGGCUUGAGUUAUUGUGAAGUGGUUAGAAUGUGUGGUGUAGCGGUGAAAUGCUUAGAUAUCACACAGAAUACCCAUUGCGAAGGCAGAUCACUAACAAUAUACUGACGCUCAUGGAC
rnacentral:rRNA from 1 species